AUUGAACGCUGGCGGCAGGCCUAACACAUGCAAGUCGAACGGUAACAGGAAGCAGCUUGCUGCUUUGCUGACGAGUGGCGGACGGGUGAGUAAUGUCUGGGAAACUGCCUGAUGGAGGGGGAUAACUACUGGAAACGGUAGCUAAUACCGCAUAACGUCGCAAGACCAAAGAGGGGGACCUUCGGGCCUCUUGCCAUCGGAUGUGCCCAGAUGGGAUUAGCUAGUAGGUGGGGUAACGGCUCACCUAGGCGACGAUCCCUAGCUGGUCUGAGAGGAUGACCAGCCACACUGGAACUGAGACACGGUCCAGGCUCCUACGGGAGGCAGCAGUGGGGAAUAUUGCACAAUGGGCGCAAGCCUGAUGCAGCCAUGCCGCGUGUAUGAAGAAGGCCUUCGGGUUGUAAAGUACUUUCAGCGGGGAGGAAGGGAGUAAAGUUAAUACCUUGGCUCAUUGACGUUACCCGCAGAAGAAGCACCGGCUAACUCCGUG
rnacentral:rRNA from 1 species